GUGAAGGAGAGGUCGGAGUCAAAGAGAACAUCUAGGCAGCGAGCCUGCAUGGAGGAGCUGAUGGUAGCACGAUUAACGUGGAGGGAGACAGAGAAGGGAGUAGCAACAAUUGAUGGAGGAAAGAUCAGAAGUUCUGUUUUGGACAAGUUACCGGUAAGUUUAAAGAAGUGGACAGCCGUCCAGUUAGAAAUAGCAGAGAGCCAG